GCCGGGUGUGGUGGCACACUCCUGUAAUCACAGAAGCUCGGGAGGCUGAGAUGGGAGGAUCACGAGUUCAAAGCCAGCCUCAGCAAGGGCAAGGCACUAAGCAACUCAGUGAGACCCUGUCUCUA
rnacentral:sRNA from 1 species